UCAUAUAUCACACUUGUUCAGGAUAUUUUUGCAAAAUUUGACAGUGUACUAGCAGUACCACAUAAAAAAAAAACACCCAAAAAACAAAACUGCCAUCUAAACUAUGAACACUCGUGAUUUUCAUUGUGGUUUUUUAUGCUGCACUGCACUAAAUCUACUUAAAAAGGGCCAAUUUGUGCUCUCAUUGGAACAAAGUGUAUGCUUGUUUAGGGUUUUUUAAAGUGCUGAUGGUUUCUACAAUAUGCUCAGAAAAACAAUCACAAUACGAAAACGUAUCACAAUGUGGAUAAAGUGUUGUCAUAUUGUCCACCUCUAAAAGACAUGUGCCGUUAUCCUGUGACUGGACAUGUCACAGUAUUAAUCACAUGGAGCUUUCUAAGUGCUCCGGGUUUGCUUGCCAGCAUGCUUUCUGCUGCAUUUAUGUCCAACCAGAAAAAAAGUAAUGCACAGUAAUGUUAUCGUUGUCCCUUUAAAAUGCCAUCAAUGAAUUUUAGCCAAACACACUGCGGUUUUACUAGAGAUUAGAUACCACAGCAACUUUUUCACAAGCUCCAGUACUCCGAUCACGUGGUACAGUUCCUACUCUGAGCGGAUCAGAGAUGUAGCUUGUUGCUAACACAUACUGGAAAAUCUCAUUAACAAGCUAGCAGAAAUUAUCCUUAGAAAGGCAUUUUUAUGUGAUGAUAUUUGCAGCCUGUUCAUAAUAACUAUAUACACCACUUUUAUGGUGAUAGUUGUGUAUUUUUGGACAGAAGUGUGUUAGCUAGAUUAAGGCGGACAUUAUUGCCUCAAAUUAGAGCUCUAAUACAGACGAUUAGGAAUGGUGUCUCAAUUUUGCGAUUACCACAUUCUUAGUGAUGGCUGCCUCUUGACUGGAUCCAUUUCUCUUGUAAACAUGUGCUAUAUUGAUCACUGCUGCUUACAUUUCUAGGCUAGGAGAUACUAUUGCUGACCAAAGUAAACAAUACAGUAGCAGAUUUUCUGGAUGUGUGUAUCGUUGUCAGCUAACAAUUGCAUAAUGGAAAAUGGAUAAUGCACAUGAUAAGGAGCAGUAAGCUUUGUUAAAAAUACUUCUUAAAAAUUAGAUUGCCAACUUAGUAGUUCUGUUUUAAGUAUCAAUGGCAAAACAAGAUAAUCGCUGUGAGAAAUUUUGUGGAAAAGUCAUUCUUAUCAUUGUUAUCCAGUGUUUGUACUCUGUUCGACAAUCAUUGCCUCGUCAACUUCAUUGAUUGCCUUCUUAUACGUUUUUUUUUUCUGACAUUACUUUCGUAGCAAGGUCAGUGAUGAGCCAUACUGGUACACGUACCUAUUUAAGCUGUCAGCAAGUAUUUUGUCCAGUCACAAUUAACCUAUUUUUAAAUCCCUUUUCAAAUUGUUAAAUGGACACUUAUGAAUCACGUCUGUGAAUAGUAGCCUUCAACUAUUAGUAAUACAUUGAUGAUAAUAUCUUGACUGCUAAGCUAAAUGUAGCUUGGGAUCACUUUGGGAGAGGACACAAACCUGGAUGACCUCAACUUCAGUGCUUGCCCAUAUUCCUGGUUCUCAAAGCUUUUGCCAUUGUAUAGUUCUGAGCGAGUGGCGUAGAGGCUGGACUCGGCUCAGUUGGGAUUUUUGCCUUCUGCGCCACUCCAGGUGCAGGCCUUUCCUGUGCGUUUCUACCCUGUUUCAUAUCUUCAGCACCUGGUUUGGGCUCUAAAAAAACAAUUUUGAGUCUGACUGGUUGUCAUACAGAUAUGUCUGAAGUAUGAAACACAUUCGAUGUCUUGGAUGCAGUUGGACGUUGAUUGCUGAAAGUGAAGAAGAUGCAUCAUAGAUAGAGACGAAGACAGGAGGUAUAUAGGCGCUAAGCAUAUACACUAUCGAUUAUUACCCUCAGAUGCAUAUGUGAGUUUGUUUAACUACUUUGAGAGCAUUGUCUACUCGUCAUUGCCUUCAUAGCAGCUUUAUGUAUAGUGAAACAGUAGUUAUGAAGUUAUGUUCUCUUUGAGCAAGGCUAUAUCUUAUGAAAUAGAAGAUCAUAUCAUAUUCAUACCUGAAUUUAACUAUGACCAUUUUUCUCAGGUUCUACCCAGUAAAAGUGUGGAAGCAAUUUGUGAACAUCAAGUUAAGUCCAGUAUAGAUGGAGCCAUCCCUGUGUCUACUGCCAAAAAAUGUUUGUGGUUGAAUCCCUCCUUAAAUCAUGUAACUUCAGACAAAAACGGAGGUAGGGCUUUUUUAAUGUUCGUUUGACCCUUGUUUUUGUGUUCCACACAAUACAUGUUUUGAAGGUUUCCAUGCCGUUCACAAAUAUCACGUCAGCUUGGAAGAAAUAAAGCGUCGAAUUGGCCCCCCUGAGUUUAUGUCCUUAAAUGCGCUAGAAGCCCUUUUAUUUACUAUGCAGACAAGACAACAGAAUUAAUGAGAGCAAAGUCUUUUUGGUUUGUAGAACUAUUCUUCAUGUAGGAAAUGAGAAGCUGUGAGUUAUUGUUGCAAGAGUACUUUUUUGCACAAAAAAAGUUUAAAUAACAGCAGUUAAACUGUAAACAAACAUCAACAGUAAACAAGCCGUCAUUUUUAGUUAGUUGCAAAUGGAGGUGAAGAGGGCGGAAAUUCUGCAUGUGCUGUUAAAUGAUA